AGAGUUUGAUCCUGGCUCAGAACGAACGCUGGCGGCAGGCCUAACACAUGCAAGUCGAGCGCGCCUUCGGGUGAGCGGCGGACGGGUUAGUAACGCGUGGGAACGUGCCCUUCUCUACGGAAUAGCCUCUGGAAACGGAGAGUAAUACCGUAUACGCCCUUUGGGGGAAAGAUUUAUCGGAGAAGGAUCGGCCCGCGUUAGAUUAGGUAGUUGGUGGGGUAACGGCCUACCAAGCCUACGAUCUAUAGCUGGUUUUAGAGGAUGAUCAGCAACACUGGGACUGAGACACGGCCCAGACUCCUACGGGAGGCAGCAGUGGGGAAUCUUAGACAAUGGGGGCAACCCUGAUCUAGCCAUGCCGCGUGAGUGAUGAAGGCCUUAGGGUCGUAAAGCUCUUUCGCCUGUGAUGAUAAUGACAGUAGCAGGUAAAGAAACCCCGGCUAACUCCGUGCCAGCAGCCGCGGUAAU
rnacentral:rRNA from 1 species